rnacentral:rRNA from 1 species
AUUGAACGCUGGCGGCAGGCUUAACACAUGCAAGUCGAGCGGAGAUGAGGUGCUUGCACCUUAUCUUAGCGGCGGACGGGUGAGUAAUGCUUAGGAAUCUGCCUAUUAGUGGGGGACAACAUUCCGAAAGGAAUGCUAAUACCGCAUACGUCCUACGGGAGAAAGCAGGGGAUCUUCGGACCUUGCGCUAAUAGAUGAGCCUAAGUCGGAUUAGCUAGUUGGGGGGGUAAAGGCCUACCAAGGCCACGAUCUGUAGCGGGUCUGAGAGGAUGAUCCGCCACACUGGGACUGAGACACGGCCCAGACUCCUACGGGAGGCAGCAGUGGGGAAUAUUGGACAAUGGGGGAAACCCUGAUCCAGCCAUGCCGCGUGUGUGAAGAAGGCCUUAUGGUUGUAAAGCACUUUAAGCGAGGAGGAGGCUACUGAGACUAAUACUCUUGGAUAGUGGACGUUACUCGCAGAAUAAGCACCGGCUAACUCUGUGCCAGCCGCCGCCGUAA